UACGGAGGGUGCAAGCGUUAUCCGGAUUCACUGGGUUUAAAGGGUGCGUAGGUGGAUUAGUAAGUCAGUGGUGAAAGCCCCGAGCUCAACUUGGGAAUUGCCAUUGAUACUGCUAGUCUUGAGUUCGGUUGAGGUAGGCGGAAUAAGUCAUGUAGCGGUGAAAUGCUUAGAUAUGACUUAGAACACCGAUUGCGAAGGCAGCUUACCAAGCCGACACUGACACUGAGGCACGAAAGCGUGGGGAUCAAACAGG
rnacentral:rRNA from 1 species